GAUCGAGGACGGAGGGCGGUGGGUGGAUAGGAUAGGCCGGAAUAAUAAUAACGCAGGUGGGGUCACGGCAAAGGCGUGCCGCGUGCGUGGACCUCGCCCUCAUCUCUUCUGCUCCGUGUUCAAUAAUUCCACCACCGCAUAGCUCCUGCCUUCUUCCUAGUUCCUACCUUCGCCCCCCCCCCCCCCCCCCCCCGCCGUCGAUUCGUGCUGCGCUCACCUCGACCCAGUUCAAUAUCGCUGGCGAGGGAAGCAGCAGCAGAAGCUCCGGCGAGAACCCCCACCUCCGGCUAUCGCCUGGGGAUAAAGUGGGGUCGGUAGGGGCGGUGACCUAGGGGGAGCAAAAGGGAUCCGAUAGGGAGAGAUGAAGCAAUCAAUUUAUUCGUCCGCCGUCGCCCCUGCUAACGCCCCCACUACUAACCCUAGGAUCAUACUGUCUUUUGGCGUUUCUUCUCCGGCUCUUUUUCGUUUGCCUGUCGGUUACAAGGUGGAACGUCUUCAGAAGCUUCUCCACUAGAUUAGUGUAAAUAGUAGACUUGUUCAGGUUUAGUUUGGUUGGAAGAAUUAGUUUCUGGUUCGUGUUCAUUUCUGCUAGCAAUAAUGGCUGCGAUGAACGGAAAGGUAUUGGGUAAAUGUGGAAGGAACAUGAAUAGUCUCAAGAGAAAGCGGGAGAACCCCGCUGCAUAUGAUGCUGACAUAUUCCACAACUCUGAAUUGCAUCAGCACCCUGUCAAUGAUUCUGCUGUUAGGUUUCAUGUUGAUAAAGACCGCAAGGCAAAGAUCGUGUGCCACUUCAACAAGCAGGUUUUGCAGAGCUAUAAGAACUUCAUGAGUAGCGCACCACCUAAACGUAUUUUGCUUCGCAUAGGUGCUGUCUGGAAAGACUUCCCAGAAAAGAUUGUCAAAUUGGCACAAGCUGACUUCAGGGCGAAAAAAACAAUCACAGAAACAGGAUAUCAGAACCAGCUAUUUUUGCUGGAUUUUGCCCAUAUGACAUUCAUAGACACGAAGACAGGUCUUCAGAGGCCGAUUGCUUGGAUCGAUGAAAAUGGAAACCGCUACUUCCCAGAAUCAUUUGUGCAAGAUCAGAAAAUAUUUAUGAAGAAAGAUUUUGGCAACGGAUAUCAUGAUUACAUUAGUGUUGAGUCAAAUGGGACACGAGAAAUGAAUGACCAGCUUGGAACAUCAGAAAGUUCCGCAGAAAGUUCAAACUUCGGUUCAAGUACUGAAGAUGUUUCCAGUCCUAAGAGAGCUAGAGCUGAAAAUAAUUCCAUCAUAAAAAAAUACUGUGAUAUGGGAGAAGCUAUUGGAGAAAAUGAGCCAUGCACUUUGUUGCCUACAGCCUGUAACCUACUACCACGCCAAGCUAAUCUGGGUGAGGUAUCACGUGCCCAGCGCACUAUUGAAGCCGUGGAGAAGCUGUUGUUGCAGGGGAUGGGUUCAGUUAUUGAAUCCAAGGACAUUAUUGGAAUCUACAGGACUCCAUUAUUGGAUGACCAUGGACAAGUCCGUUACCAUAAUCACGAAAAGCAUGUACAGGUUACCAGAUGUCAUCGUGGAAACGCAAAUGUCCGUUAUGCAUGGCUUCCUUGCUCCAAAAGCACUGUGCAUGAAAUGAUGCUGAAUAGUUCUUUACAAGUUCAUAAGCCGCCCAUUAAGUGUGCAGCCUAUGGAGAGGGCACAUUCCUUACACCAGCAAAUCGUUCUGAUGCCUGUGUGAAAUUCUCUGCUGUUGAUGAAAAUGGCAUUGUCCAUAUGAUGUUGUGCCGUGUUAUAAUGGGGAACGUAGAAAUAGUUCACCCUGGAUCUAAGCAGCACCAACCUAGUAGUGACUAUUUUGAUAGUGGAGUAGAUGACCUUAAAAACCCACAACAUUACAUUGUGUGGGAUAUGAAUCUGAAUAGGCACAUCUAUCCUGAGUUUGUAGUCACCGUCAAAUUGCCUUCUAAAACAAAAGAUUACUUCGUAUCGCAAGAAGACUGCCAGAAUUCAUCUGAUCUGUCACUGGUGUUGAAUUCUAGUUCACCCGACUGUAUUUCAGAGACGAGUUCCACUGUUGGAGCAGCAAGAGUGCAGUAAUUCAGAUUGUGUGAUUUGACACAAUACUUGACUUGUGUUUGCGUUAUUGAGAUUAUAACUUGGAGCUGAUUAUAUUCGCUAUCUAUGAUAGAAACCUCCAAAUAUGAUAAGUUUCCUUGUGAAACCAUGCUGUUUUAGUCAUGUUGGAGUUGGUUAAAGAACCAGUUAACAACUUCCUUUUAUGCAUAAAACAGGAGAUGAACCUGGAGGCACCUCCAGCAUUGGGAGGUGGAUGUGCAGCCCCCAUGCUAGGAGAUUCGAUGGCAAAGGCUCCAAGCUCACCUUGGAUGCCUUUCUCUAUGUUGUUUGCAGCGAUCUCAACCAAAGUGUCUCCUCAAAUUAUGGACAUGGUUAUUGGUUGCUAUGAAGAGUUUAAGAGUAAGAAAAUAAGCCGAUGCGAACUAAUAAAGGAGCUGAGGCACGUAGUUGGUGAUAGAGUGCUAAUAUCGACGAUAAUGCGUCUCCAAGAUAAGCAGUUGCCUCCUGUGGAGAGGCGUGAGGGACCGGGUGCAUCAGCUGCCAAGAUGGUGGCGAAACCGUGAGGCGGGUGUCGGUCGGUCGGUGGGCGAGGAAUGCAGAAGGGAGGAAGCAGCUGACUUUGACAACCCUGUGGGAAGCAGCAACUAUGAAGCCUCUUGUGUCAGUCUUUGUAUGGCGGCUGAUGUUUCUUCUUUCUGUGUCGUAUGAGUAUGUUUUUUCCUAGUAGAUUGUAUCAGGAGUUUUUCAUUUCAAAUUGAGCUGCGCAUGUUCUUUUGAGCCUUUGGAAUAGUUCGUCAACGAAAAAGGCUCCUUUUACCUUUCUGAUAACAGUGUUGUGCAUUGUUAAUUAAUGUGGGUCAUAUAGAAUAAUAUAUGAUGUAUACAAUGUUUUUGAGUU